rnacentral:rRNA from 1 species
CCUACGGGUGGCAGCAGUGAGGAAUAUUGGUCAAUGGGCGCAGGCCUGAACCAGCCAAGUCGCGUGAGGGAAGACUGCCCUAUGGGUUGUAAACCUCUUUUAUAAGGGAAGAAUAAUGACUACGUGUAGUCAGAUGCCCGUACCUUAUGAAUAAGCAUCGGCUAACUCCGUGCCAGCAGCCGCGGUAAUACGGAGGAUGCGAGCGUUAUCCGGAUUUAUUGGGUUUAAAGGGUGCGUAGGCGGUAGUUUAAGUUAGUGGUAAAACGUCGGGGCUUCACCUUGAUUGGCCAUUAAAACUGGAGUGCAAGAGUACAGACGAGGUAGGCGGAAUACGUGAAGUAGCGGUGAAAUGCUUAGAUAUGACUGAGAACCCCGAUAGCGAAGGCAGGUUACCAGCAUGCUACUGACGCUGAGGCACGAGAGCGUGGGUAGCGAACAGGAUUAGAUACCCUGGUAGUC